AAAAACCCUACCCGCGACUUCUUUUCAGUCUCUCCCCCUGCCUCUCUGUUAUCUCUGCGCCGAAAACACUCUCAAUCUCUCCGAAACCCUAGCCGUUGUCCUUCUCUCAAUCUCUCCGAAACUCUAGCCGUCAUCUUCAUCCUUGUGCCUCGUCUUCAUCCUCGUUCGUGCCGAUAUAUAAAAGAAUGCUUGAAGAUGGUGUCACUAGACUGGCCAUACAUAGUCUUAUUGGGAGCUCCGAGAAAGGGACAGAGUUUGCUUUGAAAUUAUUACUUGAGUUCUUUGUGAUUACUAUUUGUUUCUACAUUGAGUUGUAGCAUGGCGUGGAAGAAAUAUAUCUGUCAAGUUUCAGCAUCCGGUACUUGUACCACGCCUGGCCGGGUGAACCCAACCUACUACAAUCAGAUGGCAGCUUCUGUAAAUGAUCUCUUUCAGUCCAAUCACUUGAAGUUGCUAUUUGGUGUGGAGAGUAAAUAAUUGAUGGAAAUUCAUCAGAUUUUGUAAUUUAUAUAUUGUAAUUUUGUAAUUUAUAUAUUGUAAUUUUGUAUUUUGUAAUGUAUAUAUAGCAAAUAAUGGAAUAUGUAGUGGAUUGCAUUAUGAUGCAUGCAUAGACGAAUAUUGGAUUUUUUUUUUUUUAGAUGCAUCUAGUAUUUUUAGAAACAAAUAUUAUGCUUUGACUAUGUUUUUAUGAGUAUGUUUUUUUCUGUGUAUUUGGUC